CCUCCCUCCCACGCGCCCGCGCACAAGCCAACAAAAAGGAAAAAUUAAAAAAUAGAAGAAGCCAAGUGAAAUCCCGCACGGUGGGAGAAAAAUGUAUGCCUGUAUACUGGCCUGUACAGAAUAGACAGAGAAAAGAAAAAUCACCCUGGACAACGUAACAGAAUUUUUUAACUAUAGUCUUACGUCCUGCAAGAAAAAUGGCGGACUAAGUGGAAAAGGCAAAGCGAUCGCAUUCUACGUCAGGUUCUAUUAAAUAGCCUAAAAGAAUAAUAUAGCCUUUAAAAGAAAAUAGUAAGUACUAUUCUACGAGCCCUGAGUCAGUGCCAAUGACUAUAAAGCCCUUCUCUCCGCAUCGGCCAGCCAAAAAGAACCUCUGGUAUGACGUCAUUGCAGCUGGACCCUCCCCGCUUCUCACAGUGUUCUCUGUCUACUUGUGCGCUGCUGGUGUCGGCUUUUGUCUAUUAAUACGCGAGAACGCUGGACCGCGGACGAAAACCCCUGGAAAAUAGAGAAAAAAAAAACAAAACAAGGGUAUUGUGUCGCCCCAACAUUUCGGUUCAUGAUCAAACAAGAAACCCGACACACAGCUGGAUCCCUGGAGCCAGUCCCUCUGUUUACACACAUUCCUGUACACAUACAGGACCCCGAUGUUUUUACUUGGAAACUGAAUCGGACUCCCGUUAAAUCACAAAAUAAUAAUUCGCCCUUUAUUCUUUUUCAUUUCUUUCUUGGAAAAACGAAGGACUUUUCCUUCCUUUUUGUGUUACGUCGCUCGUAAAACCACAUGGUGUCAAACGGUAAUGCCUUUUCCCAAACCAAAUUGGGCCGACACCCGCUAGGCAAAUAAAAGAAAAUGCCGUAGAUGAGUCUACGAGACUCAUCCGAUUGACACAGCAGUUCGGUGUAGGGCGGACAAGCGAAACAAAGAGCCUUUUACAUAAGCAACGAGCUAAAAAAAAAAAAAAAGGAAAACAUACACACAAAUCAAAAAAUGUACAGAGCAAAAAAGAAAUCCAUUCACAAGCGGAUAUGAGGUCAAAACGCUAUGAAAAAGUGUAUUACUUUUUAUUUUUUUUUAAUUAGUGGUGAGCUGUGGAUGAAUAGGGAAGUGUGUUUUAAAAUAAGGGGGAAAUAACGAGGAAAAUAAAAAUGGAAGCAAGAUCGUGCUGUACAGCAAAAAUUAAACAUUAACCAAUCGACAGCCGGUUUGGACGGGCAUCCAUCAAUGGUUCGGCACGCGCUGCAGACUCCCGUGUUCUCAGUAGUUAACGAGGCACAAGCGACACAAUCAAUAAAAAUUCC